rnacentral:rRNA from 1 species
AGAGUUUGAUCCUGGCUCAGAACGAACGCUGGCGGCGUGCUUAACACAUGCAAGUCGAACGAGAAAGUACCUUCGGGUGCGAGUAGAGUGGCGCACGGGUGAGUAACACGUGGAUAAUCUGCCCUUGAGUUGGGGAUAACUCGCCGAAAGGUGGGCUAAUACCGAAUGACAUUGCCAAUCAUAAGAUUGGUAAUUAAAGGUUUACCGCUUAAGGAUGAGUCCGCGUCCCAUUAGCUAGUUGGUAGGGUAAUGGCCUACCAAGGCGACGAUGGGUAGCUGGUCUGAGAGGAUGAUCAGUCACACUGGAACUGGAACACGGUCCAGACUCCUACGGGAGGCAGCAGUGGGGAAUAUUGCACAAUGGGGGAAACCCUGAUGCAGCGACGCCGCGUGGGUAAGGAAGGUUUUAGGAUCGUAAAGCCCUGUCAAGUGGGAAGAAACAAAUGACGUACCACUAAAGAAGCACCGCUAACU